CACUUUGAAAGUCAUAAGACACAUGUUUGGCAGACAUUAGGAUUCUGUUGUGGCCCAAAACUGGGGGCUUACUCACAUGUGUAUCAGAAUGAUUGCCACGGAGCUGGACAGGAAACAUGUGGCGAGUGAGGAGGGCUGACAGGCUACAAAGGUCUCCAGACAUCUACAAGACAUGGCACGGGAACUGUGGCUGUGAGGGAGUGCAGCUGUCUUUCCAUCCGAAGGUUGGAAACA